CAAAGGCUUCGGCCGGUAAAGGAUGGGGAUGCGCCUGAUUAGCUUGCCGGCGGGGUAACGGCCCACCGGGGCGACGAUCAGUAGGGGUUCUGAGAGGAAGGUCCCCCACAUUGGAACUGAGACACGGUCCAAACUCCUACGGGAGGCAGCAGUGAGGAAUAUUGGUCAAUGGGCGCGAGCCUGAACCAGCCAAGUAGCGUGCAGGACGACGGCCCUAUGGGUUGUAAACUGCUUUUAUACGGGGAUAAAGUAUGCCACGUGUGGUUUAUUGCAGGUACCGUAUGAAUAAGGACCGGCUAAUUCCGUGCCAGCAGCCGCGGUAAUACGGAAGGUCCGGGCGUUAUCCGGAUUUAUUGGGUUUAAAGGGAGCGUAGGCCGGGUUUUAAGCGUGCCGUGAAAUGUCGGGGCUCAACCUUGACACUGCGGCGCGAACUGGAGUCCUUGAGUGCGCGGAACGUAUGCGGAAUUCGUGGUGUAGCGGUGAAAUGCUUAGAUAUCACGAAGAACCCCGAUUGCGAAGGCAGCAUACGGCAGCGCUACUGACGCUGAAGCUCGAAGGCGCGGGUAUCGAACAGGAUUAGAUACCCUGGUAGUCCGCGCGGUA
rnacentral:rRNA from 1 species